ACGGGGCGCAGCAGGCGCGAAAACUUUGCAAUGUGCGAAAGCACGACAAGGUUAAUCCGAGUGGUUUCCGCUAAAGAAACCUUUUGUCAGUCCUAGAAACACUAACGAAUAAGGGGUGGGCAAGUUCUGGUGUCAGCCGCCGCGGUAAAACCAGCACCUCAAGUGGUCAGGAUGAUUAUUGGGCCUAAAGCAUCCGUAGCUCGCUUUGUAAGUUUUCGGUUAAAUCCAUGCGCUUAACGUAUGGGCUGCCGGGAAUACUGCAUAACUAGGAAGUGGGAGAGGUAGACGGUACUCGGUAGGAAGGGGUAAAAUCCUUUGAUCUAUUGAUGACCACCUGUGGCGAAGGCGGUCUACCAGAACACGUUCGACGGUGAGGGAUGAAAGCUGGGGGAGCAAACCGGAUUAGAUACCCGGGUAGUCCCAGCUGUAAACUAUGCAAACUCAGUGAUGCAUUGGCUUGUGGCCAAUGCAGUGCUGCAGGGAAGCCGUUAAGUUUGCCGCCUGGAAAGUACGUACGCAAGUAUGAAACUUAAAGGAAUUGGCGGGGGAGCAC
rnacentral:rRNA from 1 species